CACGUAGGGGGCGAGCGUUGUCCGGAUUUAUUGGGCGUAAAGAGCUCGUAGGCGGCUCGGUAAGUCAGGUGUGAAAACUCUAGGCUCAACCUAGAGACGCCACCUGAUACUGCUGUGGCUAGAGUCCGGUAGGGGAGUCUGGAAUUCCUGGUGUAGCGGUGAAAUGCGCAGAUAUCAGGAGGAACACCGGUGGCGAAGGCGGGACUCUGGGCCGAUACUGACGCUGAGGAGCGAAAGCGUGGGGAGCAAACAGG
rnacentral:rRNA from 1 species